rnacentral:rRNA from 1 species
UCCAGACUCCUACGGGAGGCAGCAGUGAGGAAUAUUGGUCAAUGGGCGGGAGCCUGAACCAGCCAAGUCGCGUGAGGGAUGACGGCCCUACGGGUUGUAAACCUCUUUUGUCGGGGAGCAAAUUCCGCCACGUGUGGCGGAGUCGAGAGUACCCGAAGAAAAAGCAUCGGCUAACUCCGUGCCAGCAGCCGCGGUAAUACGGAGGAUGCGAGCGUUAUCCGGAUUUAUUGGGUUUAAAGGGUGCGUAGGCGGAAGGUUAAGUCAGCGGUAAAAUGUCGGUGCUCAACACCGGCCUGCCGUUGAAACUGGUCUUCUUGAGUGAGCGAGAAGUAUGCGGAAUGCGUGGUGUAGCGGUGAAAUGCAUAGAUAUCACGCAGAACUCCGAUUGCGAAGGCAGCAUACCGGCGCUCAACUGACGCUGAGGCACGAAAGCGUGGGGAUCGAACAGGAUUAGAUACCCCCGUACC